rnacentral:rRNA from 1 species
UCGUCAGCUCGUGUCGUGAGAUGUUGGGUUAAGUCCCGCAACGAGCGCAACCCCUGUUCUUAGUUGCCAGCACGUUAAGGUGGGAACUCUAAGAAGACUGCCGGUGAUAAAUCGGAGGAAGGUGGGGACGACGUCAAAUCAUCAUGCCCUUUAUGUCCUGGGCUACACACGUACUACAAUGGCUAUUACAGAGGGAAGCUAAGCCGCGAGGUGGAGCAAAACCCAAAAAAGUAGUCUCAGUUCGGAUUGAAGGCUGAAAUUCGCCUUCAUGAAGCCGGAAUUGCUAGUAAUGGCAGGUCAGCAUACUGCCGUGAAUACGUUCCCGGGCCUUGUACACACCGCCCGUCACACCAUGAGAGUUGGGAAUACCCGAAGCCUGUGAGCUAACUUUUAGAGGCAGCAGUCGAAGGUAGAAUCAAUGAUUGGGGUGAAGUCGUAACAAGGUAACCGUA